rnacentral:rRNA from 1 species
CAUUACCGAAUUGUCAACACGAGUUGUUGCUGGUCCUCAAAUGGGGACAUGUGCACGCUCUGUUUACACAUCCACUCACACCUGUGCACCCUCCAUAGUUCUGCAGCCUGGGGGGCUUCCGUCUCCCUGCCGUGGUUCUAUGUAUUUACACACACACUGUAGUAAAGUCUCAUGGAAUGCAUACCGCGUUUAACGCAAUAUAAUACAACUUUCAGCAACGGAUCUCUUGGCUCUCGCAUCGAUGAAGAACGCAGCGAAAUGCGAUAAGUAAUGUGAAUUGCAGAAUUCAGUGAAUCAUCGAAUCUUUGAACGCACCUUGCGCCCUUUGGCUAUUCCGAAGGGCAUGCCUGUUUGAGUAUCAUGAACACCUCAACUCUCAUGGCCUUGCCGUGAUGAGCUUGGACUUUGGGGGUCUUGCUGGCCUGUGGUUGGCUCCUCUCAAAAGAAUCAGCUUGCCAGUGUUUGGUGGCAUCACGGGUGUGAUAACUAUCUACGCUUGUGGUUUUCCACCAGGUAACCUUCAGCGAGGGUUCGCUGGGGCUCAUAAACGUCUCUCCUCAGCGAGGACAGCUCUUUGAACGUUUGAUCUCAAAUCAGGUAGGACUACCCGCUGAACUUAA